rfam:Oryza nivara chromosome 3, whole genome shotgun sequence.
AAUAAGUGCAGUUUUAUACUAUUCAUGUUCAACGUUUGACCGUUCGUCUUAUUUGAAAAUUUUAUAUGAUUAGUUAUUUUAUUGCUAUUAGAUGAUAAAACAUAAAUAGUACUUUAUGUGUGACUAAAUAUUUUUAAAUUUUUCAUAAACUUUUCGAAUAAAACGGACGAUUAAAUGUUGGGCACGGAUUUCAAGACGGAGGUAGUA